AACCCGUCUGAUAGCGCUUA
rnacentral:snRNA from 1 species